CUGCGGCGGCGCGAUUCGGAGGUGUCGACGAUGGCGACGCGGUGCUCUCUCCGUCGGCGGCUGUCCCCUCCGCUGUCUACCUUCUCACCAAUGAGUAUCUCCUCAUCCCCUUUCCUUCCCUUCUCUAGGGUUUCAUGGGUUUGUUGCCCACGGCUGGUUGCGGCAGCGAGAGCAUGCAGAGUGCAUGUAGAUAGAGUAGAGUUGGGGGGCUUGGUUCUUUUCCUCUUGUCGUCACGGGAUCUGCCAUGCGGUGGCGCUUGCUACCAGUCAGGCUUCUGUGGCUGUGCGCGUAAUCAACUUAUUAGCUUCUUGAUUUUAGAUGCAGGCUUGUUUCUUUGUCAGGUGUGCGUGUAGCGCAUACAGCUUGGAAGAAUAUGGAUGUGUGACAUUUUUCUUUGUAGCUUCCAACUAUCUGCUCCGCUAUGCUGCGAUUACUCUAUUAUUUUUCUGUUUAGACUACACUAAUAUUAGCACUGGCUUGAGUAUGGCUUGGAUGCAUGCAUGCCCCUUCUGUUUUCCUACAUAUAAUUUUUUAAACAGCUCCAUUUGCCAACAUAUAGUUUAUCUGCUUGCCAACAUUUUUUGUUAAACAGGACUAGGAAGUUUUUGUCUUGUGACCAAAUAAGUUAGAAGAUAACUUCUGUUUUACAGCUCUAAAUGGAUGAUGUUGCAUAAUGAUCUUAUGCUAAGUAGGAUAAAUAUCCAUUUGCUAACUGAUGUGUCAGAUUCAUUUUAUAUGUAGUAUUCAUAUUAUUAUGGCAGUAUAAUUAUCAUGGAGACUGAAUUGUAAAAUGAGGACUGAAACUUCGUUUCAAAAAAACCUGUGCAGUUGUCCUUAAGAUCUCACUUGCUCAUUUGCUCACUACUCUGCAUUGGGAUCUUAUCUCUGGUCUGUGUCUUCUAUGAGUACCUAUAUUUGUUUGUACCAUUGAGUCAGAAUGUUUGUUUCUACGCACUGGGCGCUGCUAGUUGCUGUGAAUUACAGAACAGAGAAAACCUAGAGAGGGAUUAGGGGAAGCAAUCCCCAAAACCUAGAGAGGGAUUAGAGGAAGCACUCCCCAAAACCUAGUUGCUUUAAUCCAGCCUGCUGUUUUGGUGAGAAUCUGAUCCUGAAAAUUAAGUUUCCAAUUAGCUGCACAUGCUUAAUGACUUAAUGUUAUUGAUGCAUAUUCCUUUGUUGGCUAUGGUCUAAUUUUGUCAGCAAUGUGUUAUCAGAAGUGUAGUAGUGCCGCAUCUUAUGGUUGGCCACCAUAGGAGAUGCUUAAUUUAUUUCUGCAUAUAUCUAGUUACCUGACACACAAUAUCUACACCUGCAGCUUCCCCCUUCCUUCGUAAAAUUAUAAUCUAAAUACUUACCAUGAUAUAUGGCUGUUACAACUCUAUCUAUUGCUUGCAAUUGAGCUCUAUAUAUGGCCAUUAUGUUCUUGUUUCUAAUUAAGUUGAGAAAGUUAGCUUUUGGUUCUUAAAUUAAGUUUAAUUCUGCAGGCAUGCCUUGUUCAUUUUGUACAGUACUCCAUGAGAAUGAAACUGAUGCAAUGAAUUUUUGCUGUUUUCAGGCAACAUGUAAUGGCCUGAAGACUUGAUGCACCUAUUGACAUGCACCUAUUGACAAGGACUCAAACUCAAGGAGGAUUAGGAUGCUAGAGUGAAGGGUCCUGGGAGUUGUCUAAUGCACCUUUGCUUUAUUAGAUUAAGAUAGGAUUUGUCAUCUUUGAUUUGU
rnacentral:lncRNA from 1 species